GCAGUCGUGGCCGAGUGGUUAAGGCGAUGGAUUUGAAAUCCAUUGGGGUCUCCCCGCACAGGUUCGAAUCCUGUCGGCUGCG
rnacentral:tRNA from 1 species